rnacentral:lncRNA from 1 species
AAUUUUUUGGCGUAAACACUAUUUUUUUUUUCUUUUUUGGUCUUUUUGCCUUUUCUAGGGCCACUCCCGCCGCAUAUGGAGGUUCCCAGGCUAGGGGUCGAAUCGCAGCUGUAGCCACCGGCCUACGCCACAGCCACAGCAAUGGUGGAUCCAAGCCGCAUCUGCAACCUACACCACAGCUCACGGCAACGUCGGAUCCCUAACCCACUGAGCAAGGCCAGGGAUCGAACCCCCAACCUCAUGGUUCCUAGUUGGGUUCGUUAACCACUGCGCCACGACGGGAACUGCUGGAGUCAACACUGCUAAAACUCGCUUGGGGAAGAAAAAGAAGUGUGAGGCUCAAAUGCUUGUCUCAACAGAAUCAACUUCUACAGUAAAAUGCACAUUUCCAAAGGGAAAUACCUGAGCCAAACUAAACUGACAAGGCGUGUUUGCGUAAAUGUAAAAGGAACAUUUUCAUGGUCUAUUUUUAACUUUUGAUGCACAAUCAACUGCUAAAGGCUAUUUUGGGUGGUCGGAACUGUGGCUUUGAAGACCCUGUAUUUUGCUUUAUCAGCCAGAUCUGAAAAGAGAAGCUGCGUUAUCGUCAGAUGCUGGAUGAAUGGGUUUUGCUCAUUGAUGAGAUUAUGCUAUGGUGAUUUUACAAGCAUAAGUGGAAGGAGGCCAGGGACACAGGCUGCUGAAGUGGCCUAGAAAAGUCAGGAAGCAGUCGUGCAGAUUGUGGGGAAGCCCAGGACGAGAAGACUGUCUGGCCUCGGGGCUGGAACUCAGAAAAUGUCCAGCGCUCAUAGCCUUCAGAAAGACAGGUGAUAGGAAGCCCUGGAGUUCAAGGCGAAGCUGCUCGGAGGGGGAAGGGCAGAAAGAAAGUCACCAGAAGGCAGUCAAAAGGUCAAAAGUGGUGGUGUCUUCACAGCCUUUCAGAGUCAAAAGGGUCGAAGAUGGAACGCAGGUAUUCACGCAACAAAGAAGGACUGAGGCUUGUCAACCUCUCCGGCAGAACCUCAUCGACGUAUUAGGCACCCAUUCGCACUGGGCACUGGGGACAAAUCGGUGACAAGGGACGUUAUCAUGGAGCGUCCAAGUCUCGUGGGAGAGGCAAAUCAUCAGAU